UCCCUGGUAGUCUAGUGGUUAGGAUUUGGUGCUCUCACUGCCAUAGCCGGGGUUGAAUUCCCAGGUCAGGGAA
rnacentral:tRNA from 1 species